CUGAGUAGAGUGGCGCACGGGUGAGUAACGCGUGGGUAAUCUACCCUUGGAUUUGGGAUAACUCUGCGAAAGUGGAGCUAAUACCGGAUAGUCUGGCUUUAAAUAAGAAGUCGGUAAAGGAUGCCUCUGCAUAUGCAUUCGUCCGAGGAUGAGCCCGCGUCUCAUUAGCUAGUUGGUAGGGUAAUGGCCUACCAAGGCAACGAUGAGUAGCUGGUCUGAGAGGAUGAUCAGCCACACUGGAACUGAAACACGGUCCAGACUCCUACGGGAGGCAGCAGUGGGGAAUAUUGCGCAAUGGGCGAAAGCCUGACGCAGCAACGCCGUGUGAGGGAUGAAGGCUUUCGGGUCGUAAACCUCUGUCGGAAGGGAAGAACGGGCAUUGGUCUAAUAGGCCUUUGUUUUGACGGUACCUUUAGAGGAAGCACCGGCUAACUCCGUGCCAGCAGCCGCGGUAAUACGGAGGGUGCAAGCGUUAUUCGGAAUUACUGGGCGUAAAGCGCACGUAGGCGGCCUUGUAAGUCAGGGGUGAAAUCCCACGGCUCAACCGUGGAACUGCCUUUGAAACUGCAGGGCUUGAAUCCUGGAGAGGGUGGCGGAAUUCCUGGUGUAGGAGUGAAAUCCGUAGAUAUCAGGAGGAACACCGGUGGCGAAGGCGGCCACCUGGACAGGCAUUGACGCUGAGGUGCGAAAGUGUGGGGAGCAAACAGGAUUAGAUACCCUGGUAGUCCACACCGUAAACGAUGGAUACUAGGUGUCGGGGACUUGAUCUUCGGUGCCGUAGCUAACGCGUUAAGUAUCCCGCCUGGGGAGUACGGUCGCAAGGCUGAAACUCAAAGAA
rnacentral:rRNA from 1 species